GAUGCCCUGGCAGUCAGAGGCGAUGAAGGACGUGCUAAUCUGCGAUAAGCGCCGGUAAGGUGAUAUGAACCGUUAUAACCGGCGAUUUCCGAAUGGGGAAACCCAGUGUGAUUCGUCACACUAUCAUUAACUGAAUCCAUAGGUUAAUGAGGCGAACCGGGGGAACUGAAACAUCUAAGUACCCCGAGGAAAAGAAAUCAACCGAGAUUCCCCCAGUAGCGGCGAGCGAACGGGGAGGAGCCCAGAGCCUGAAUCAGCAUGUGUGUUAGUGGAAGCGUCUGGAAAGGCGCGCGAUACAGGGUGACAGCCCCGUACACAAAAGCGCAUGUGCUGUGAGCUCGAUGAGUAGGGCGGGACACGUGGUAUCCUGUCUGAAUAUGGGGGGACCAUCCUCCAAGGCUAAAUACUCCUGACUGACCGAUAGUGAACCAGUACCGUGAGGGAAAGGCGAAAAGAACCCCGGCGAGGGGAGUGAAAAAGAACCUGAAACCGUGUACGUACAAGCAGUGGGAGCACAGGUUUACCUGUGUGACUGCGUACCUUUUGUAUAAUGGGUCAGCGACUUAUAUUCUGUAG
rnacentral:rRNA from 1 species